ACGACGGGUAGCUGGUCUGAGAGGACGACCAGCCACACUGGGACUGAGACACGGCCCAGACUCCUACGGGAGGCAGCAGUGGGGAAUCUUGCGCAAUGGGCGAAAGCCUGACGCAGCGACACCGCGUGGGGGAUGAAGGCCUUUCAGGUCGUAAACCCCUUUCGGCAGGGACGAAGCGAUCUCGUGACGGUACCUGCAGAAGAAGCCUCGGCUAACUACGUGCCAGCAGCCGCGGUAACACGUAGGAGGCGAGCGUUGUCCGGAAUCAUUGGGCGUAAAGAGCGCGCAGGCGGCUUGGCAAGUCGGGUGUGAAAUCCCGGGGCUCAACCCCGUGACUGCAUCCGAUACUGUCAGGCUAGAGGUAGGUAGGGGAGAUCGGAAUUCCUGGUGUAGCGGUGAAAUGCGCAGAUAUCAGGAGGAACACCGGUGGCGAAGGCGGAUCUCUGGGCCUUACCUGACGCUCAGGCGCGAAAGCUAGGGGAGCGAACAGGAUUAGAUACCCUGGUAGUCCUAGCCGUAAACGUUGGGUGCUAGGUGUGGGCGGAUAUCAACCCCGUCCGUGCCAAAGCUAACGCAUUAAGCACCCCGCCUGGGGAGUACGGCCGCAAGGCUAAAACUCAAAGGAAUUGACG
rnacentral:rRNA from 1 species